CCUACGGGUGGCAGCAGUGAGGAAUAUUGGUCAAUGGGCGAGAGCCUGAACCAGCCAAGUCGCGUGAGGGAGUACUGCCCUAUGGGUUGUAAACCUCUUUUGUCGGGGAGCAAAAGCCGGACGUGUCCGGCUGUGAGAGUACCCGAAGAAAAAGCAUCGGCUAACUCCGUGCCAGCAGCCGCGGUAAUACGGAGGAUGCGAGCGUUAUCCGGUUUUAUUGGGUUUAAAGGGUGCGCAGGCGGAUUUUUAAGUCAGCGGUAAAAUCGUGGGGCUCAACCCCAUCCAGCCGUUGAAACUGGGGAUCUAGAGUGUGCGAGAGGUAUGCGGAAUGCGUGGUGUAGCGGUGAAAUGCAUAGAUAUCACGCAGAACCCCGAUUGCGAAGGCAGCAUACCGGUGCACAACUGACGCUCAGGCACGAAAGCGUGGGUAUCGAACAGGAUUAGAUACCCCAGUAGUC
rnacentral:rRNA from 1 species